rnacentral:rRNA from 1 species
AAAGCGUGCGCAGGCGGUUUGUAAGACUGUCGUGAAAUCCCCGGGCUCAACCUGGGAAUGGCGAUGGUGACUGCAAGGCUAGAGUUUGGCAGAGGGGGGUAGAAUUCCACGUGUAGCAGUGAAAUGCGUAGAUAUGUGGAGGAACACCGAUAGGCGAAGGCAGCCCCCUGGGUCAAAACUGACGCUCAUGCACGAAAGCGUGGGGAGCAAACAGGAUUAGAUACCCUGGU